rnacentral:rRNA from 1 species
GAUGAACGCUGGCGGCGUGCCUAAUACAUACAAGUCGAGCGAACGGACGAGAAGCUUGCUUCUCUGAUGUUAGCGGCGGACGGGUGAGUAACACGUGGAUAACCUACCUAUAAGACUGGGAUAACUUCGGGAAACCGGAGCUAAUACCGGAUAAUAUUUUGAACCGCAUGGUUCAAAAGUAAAAGACGGUCUUGCUGUCACUUAUAGAUGGAUCCGCGCUGCAUUAGCUAGUUGGUAAGGUAACGGCUUACCAAGGCAACGAUGCAUAGCCGACCUGAGAGGGUGAUCGGCCACACUGGAACUGAGACACGGUCCAGACUCCUACGGGAGGCAGCAGUAGGGAAUCUUCCGCAAUGGGCGAAAGCCUGACGGAGCAACGCCGCGUGAGUGAUGAAGGUCUUCGGAUCGUAAAACUCUGUUAUUAGGGAAGAACAUAUGUGUAAGUAACUGUGCACAUCUUGACGGUACCUAAUCAGAAAGCCACGGCUAACUACGUG